rnacentral:rRNA from 1 species
UGGGGAAUAUUGGACAAUGGGGGAAACCCUGAUCCAGCCAUGCCGCGUGAGUGAUGAAGGCCUUAGGGUUGUAAAGCUCUUUUACCAGGGAAGAUGAUGACGGUACCUGGAGAAUAAGCACCGGCUAACUUCGUGCCAGCAGCCGCGGUAAUACGAAGGGUGCUAGCGUUGUUCGGAAUCACUGGGCGUAAAGCGCGCGUAGGCGGCUCGUCAAGUCAGAGGUGAAAGCCCUGGGCUCAACCCAGGAAUUGCCUUUGAAACUAGCGGGCUGGAGUGUCGGAGGGGAUAGCGGAAUUCCUAAUGUAGCGGUGAAAUGCGUAGAUAUUAGGAGGAACACCGGUGGCGAAGGCGGCUAUCUGGACGACAACUGACGCUGAGGCGCGAAAGCGUGGGGAUCAAACAGGAUUAGAUACCCCGGUAGUCC